UGAAACUGUUUCAAUAGGAUGGCAGUGGGACCCAGGAAGUUUGCAAGGGCUGUGUCAUCACACACACACAAUGACUUUAUCAAGAGCCCAUCCUGCUUCCCCACUCCUGGGAGACAUCCUCUCCAGCCCCAACUCUGUGCCAUGACUAUCGGGCUCCUCUGCCACAUGGCCUUUUAUUUUCUGGGGGCAGGCCUUACGGAAGCUGAUAUCUACCAGAACCCAAGACACCGUGUUAUAGGGACAGGAAAGAAGAUCACUCUGGAAUGUUCUCAAACCAUGGGCCAUGACAAAAUGUACUGGUAUCAACAAGAUCCAGGAAUGGAAUUACACCUCAUCCACUAUUCCUAUGGGGUUAAUUCCACAGAGAGGGGAGAUUUUUCCUCUGAGUCAACAGUCUCCAGACUAAGGAUAGAGCAUUUUCCCCUGACCCUGGAGUCUGCCAGCCCCUCACACACCUCUCAGUACCUCUGUGCCAGCAGUGAAUACACAGUGCUACAUGGAUACCGACACUCUGCACAGAAAGGGUCGCCUCUAAGGCGAGCCUUCAGAAACCUUCAGAAACCUCAUCUUAAACUACAGAAACCCCUGCAAAUCGUCCCAGACUCCUCAGCCUUGAGGGACCAGUGUGCUUUAAGUAACAAUCUGGACUGAAGACUAUCUCUGGCUCAGUCUCUGACAAGCUGAGAAAUGACCCAGCCCUGCAGUCAUCCUGGCUGACUUCUUCCUUGCAUCUAGUUGUUGCUGUUCAAUUGAGCUUGCACAAAUUUUAUCCUUCAAGUUAAAUGCGAUGAUAUUUGACAGUUGCCUUAUGGCUAGCUGAAGAAAAUCUUUGUCAGCUAAGAAACAGGAAAAGGAUCCUCUGACUUUCUGCACAGGCUGUCUUUAUCUCUGGUUCAUGGUUCCUUCUUCAUGUUAAACUUGUUCCUUCAUACACAGCCACACAAAGUCCCUGCCCUUCCCUGACCCCAGUCCUGCACCUGAUGACUUUAGUUCCUCAAUCUAUGACUUUGAACUUGGAAUACAUUUUUAUUUUCAUUUGAAAUAAGUGAUUAAUGAUUAUU